UACGUAGGGUGCAAGCGUUGUUCGGAAUCACUGGGCGUAAAGCGCACGUAGGCGGAUCUUUAAGUCAGGGGUGAAAUCCUGGAGCUCAACUCCAGAACUGCCUUUGAUACCGGGGAUCUCGAGUCCGGAAGAGGUGAGUGGAACUCCGAGUGUAGAGGUGAAAUUCGUAGAUAUUCGGAAGAACACCAGUGGCGAAGGCGGCUCACUGGUCCGGUACUGACGCUGAGGUGCGAAAGCGUGGGGAGCAAACAGG
rnacentral:rRNA from 1 species